CGAACGGAUCCUUCGGGAUUAGUGGCGGACGGGUGAGUAACACGUGGGAACGUGCCCUUGGUUCGGAACAACUCAGGGAAACUUGAGCUAAUACCGGAUGUGCCCUUCGGGGGAAAGAUUUAUCGCCAUUGGAGCGGCCCGCGUCUGAUUAGCUAGUUGGUGGGGUAAAGGCCCACCAAGGCGACGAUCAGUAGCUGGUCUGAGAGGAUGAUCAGCCACAUUGGGACUGAGACACGGCCCAA
rnacentral:rRNA from 1 species